rnacentral:rRNA from 1 species
GACGAACGCUGGCGGCGUGCUUAACACAUGCAAGUCGAACGGAAAGGCCCUGCUUUUGUGGGGUGCUCGAGUGGCGAACGGGUGAGUAACACGUGAGUAACCUGCCCUUGACUUUGGGAUAACUUCAGGAAACUGGGGCUAAUACCGGAUAGGAGCUCCUGCUGCAUGGUGUGGGUUGGAAAGUUUCGGCGGUUGGGGAUGGACUCGCGGCUUAUCAGCUUGUUGGUGGGUUAGUGGCUUACCAAGGCUUUGACGGGUAGCCGGCCUGAGAGGGUGACCGGCCACAUUGGGACUGAGAUACGGCACAGACUCCUACGGGAGGCAGCAGUGGGGAAUAUUGCACAAUGGGCGGAAGCCUGAUGCAGCAACGCCGCGUGCGGGAUGACGGCCUUCGGGUUGUAAACCGCUUUCGCCUGUGACGAAGCGUGAGUGACGGUAAUGGGUAAAGAAGCACCGGCUAACUACGUG